rnacentral:rRNA from 1 species
UACGUAGGGGGCAAGCGUUGGUCCGGAAUCAUUGGGCGUAAAGAAGCGUGUAGGCGGCCAGAUAAGUCCGCUGUGAAAUCUCGAGGCUCAACUUCGAGCUGUCGGUGGAAACUGUCUGGCUAGAGUCCGGAAGAGGAGAAUGGAAUUCCUGGUGUAGCGGUGAAAUGCGCAGAUAUCAGGAAGAACACCCGUGGCGAAGGCGGUUCUCUGGGACGGUACUGACGCUGAGACGCGAAAGCGUGGGGAGCGAACAGG